GACGAACGCUGGCGGCGUGCUUAACACAUGCAAGUCGAACGGAAAGGCCCUGCUUUUGUGGGGUGCUCGAGUGGCGAACGGGUGAGUAACACGUGAGUAACCUGCCCUUGACUUUGGGAUAACUUCAGGAAACUGGGGCUAAUACCGGAUAGGAGCUCCUGCUGCAUGGUGGGGGUUGGAAAGUUUCGGCGGUUGGGGAUGGACUCGCGGCUUAUCAGCUUGUUGGUGGGGUAGUGGCUUACCAAGGCUUUGACGGGUAGCCGGCCUGAGAGGGUGACCGGCCACAUUGGGACUGAGAUACGGCCCAGACUCCUACGGGAGGCAGCAGUGGGGAAUAUUGCACAAUGGGCGGAAGCCUGAUGCAGCAACGCCGCGUGCGGGAUGACGGCCUUCGGGUUGUAAACCGCUUUCGCCUGUGACGAAGCGUGAGCGACGGUAAUGGGUAAAGAGGCACCGGCUAACUACGUG
rnacentral:rRNA from 1 species